rnacentral:rRNA from 1 species
AGUGGCAAACGGGUGAGUAAUACAUGGGAAUUUUCCUUGUAGUAUGGAAUAACUAUUGGAAACAGUAGCUAAUACCAUAUAUUGCCGAGAGGUGAAAGAUUUAUCGCUACAAGAUAAGCCCAUGCAAGAUUAGCUUGUUGGUAAGGUAAUGGCUUACCAAGGCAACGAUCUUUAGCUGGUUUGAGAGGAUGAUCAGCCACACUGGAACUUAGACACGGUCCAGACUCCUACGGGAGGCAGCAGUGGGGAAUAUUGGACAAUGGGCGAAAGCCUGAUCCAGCGACGUCACGUGAAUGAUGAAGACCUUAGGGUUGUAAAAUUCUUUUAGUGGAGAAGAUAAUGACGGUAUCCACAGAAAAAGUCCCGGCUAACUUCGUGCCAGCAGCCGCGGUAAUACGAAGGGGGCAAGCGUUACUCGGAAUUAUUGGGCGUAAAGCGUGCGUAGGCGGCUUUAUAAGUUGGAAGUGAAAGCCUUUGGCUCAACCAAAGAAUUGCUUACAAAACUGUAAAGCUAGAGUAUUAGAGAGGAUAGAAGAAUUUCUGAUGUAGGGGUGAAAUCCGUAGAUAUCAGAAAGAAUAUCGAAGGCGAAAGCAUCUGUCUGGCUAAAUACUGACGCUGUUGCACGAAAGCGUGGGGAGCAAACAGGAUUAGAUACCCUGGUAGUCCACGCAGUAAACGAUGAGUGCUAGAUGUUAG